rnacentral:tRNA from 1 species
CAAGAUAUAGUUUAUAAAAAAAUAUUAAUUUUGGGGAUUAAAGUAAUUAUAAUUAAUUUUCUUGA